AGCGAACGCUGGCGGUGGGCCUAACACAUGCAAGUCGAACGGCAGCACAGUGAGAUCUUGCUGUGCCGGGUGGGGGGAGGCGGACGUGAGAGGAAUGUAUCGUAAUCUAGUUUUUCGUGUGGGAUAAGGAAGGUAGACUUACUCUAAUACCGCAGCCGCUCUACGGUUGUAAGCAUUGGAUAUUUGCACCUUUCGCGAAUGAAUUAGCGGAUGAUGAGUUAGCUAGUUGGCCGGUUGAAGACCCACGAAGUCGACGAUCCGUAGCUUGCCUGAGAGGAUGGUCAGCCACACUGGAGCUGAGACGCGGUCCAGAGUACUGCGGGAGGCAGCAGUGGGGAAUAUUGGACAAUGGGCGCAAGCCUGAUACAGCCAUACCGAGUGGGUGAAGAAGGCCUUCGGGUUGUAAAGACCUUUUGUUGGGAAAGAAAAGCAGCAGGUUAAUACCCAGCUGUUCUGACGGUAACCAAAGAAUAAGCACCGGCUAACUUCGUG
rnacentral:rRNA from 1 species